GAAUCCAAUCAUCCAAUCCACUCAUUUCUUGUGACGCAGCAAAGCGACAGCAAGAAGACGACAAGGAGGCCGAAGAAGGAAUCGCACAACACCAAGAGAGCUUCGCAGCUUUUCAUGGCCGUGUCAGGAACAACAUCAACACCAAGGAUUAAAAGAUGGCAAUGGUGGUUCUUGGUGGCCCUCAACAUCUUCUUCCUUCUCGCCGGCCAAACUGUGGCAACUCUUCUUGGGAGAUUCUACUAUGACCAAAGGAGGCAAUAGCAAGUGGAUGGCAACUCUUGUUCAAACUGCAUGCUUUCCUAUCCUCUUCAUUCCCUUACUUCUUUUGCCUUCUAAACAACCUCCUUCAGCAAUUGUCCACAACUCCUCUUUACAUCAAGAUUGCUUUCAUAUACCUUGCUUUCAUUCCCUUACUUCUUACCAGAGGACUCUUAUUGAUGGGGGCGGAGACGGAAGUGGGAAGACACAUCUCUAUUUGAACAUUUACGACAUCUCGCCGGUAAAUAAGUACUUAUAUUAUUUGGGCCUCGGCAUCUUCCAUUCGGGAUUGAAGCCCAUGGCAUGGAAUAUGGAUUCGGAGCACAUGACUUCUCGAUGAGCGGGGUAUUUGAAGUAGAGCCAAAAAGCUGUCCUGGAUUUAUCUUCGGACGAUCUGUGUGGCUGGGCACCACAAAUAUGUGUCGCUCAGAAUUUCGCUUAUUUAUCGAUGAUUUUUCUGAGAAAUACUAUGGAGACACCUACCAUUUGUUCGACAAGAACUGCAACCAUUUACAGAUGAGGAGCUUAAGAGCACAGGGAGUUGAGAAAAAGACGCAGCUAGCGAGAAGGACGGCACGGGAGAGAGCCGACGGGCUCGGUGCAUCCGAGGGGCGAGGUACUGUAGAAGAGUACGCGGACUGACGAGAAGGAGGCGCGCGGCGUUUCAGAGAGACGAGAAGCCGGAGCGGAAGGUUGCUCGAGAAGGCCGAAAUUGGAUUUAGGUGAAUCUUAUUUCGGAUGAUCGGAAUCACCCAAACGAGCGGAGCCGAAGCAGAAGCCCGGACCGAGGCGAGUUGAACCAGAGCAGAGGUCCCUGACCGAAAAAGUCAACUAGAGUUGACUUUGGGUUCCGGGUGCCCGGAACCCUUCCGGGCGCUCGGACCGAGUUUUUAUCCAGAUCGCGAUCAAACUGCGAUCCGUGCAUUGGGGAUAAAGUUUUAUCCCCCCAGGGCGCCUGGAACCCUUCGGGGUGCCCCGACCAAAGUUAUAAAUACAGUCUUGGUCCAGAAGCUUUUCAAUCAACUCAAACAAUUCAUUUCCAACACUUGUACGUUUCCUUUCUAGAUUAGAUUCUUUGUUUUUGCACUUCACUGUUGUAAGAGACUUCUCUGUCUGAAGGAGUAUUUAGUGU